GCCUACUUGACUCAGCGGCUAGAGUAUCGCUUUCAUACGGCGAGAGUCAUUGGUUCGAAUCCAAUAGUAGGUA
rnacentral:tRNA from 3 species